UUUUUAACACCUCAUAUAUAGAUCACUUAAUAACACCAUGUACAAAACUCAAGGUGUAACGUUGAAUUAUGUUCUAUAGAGAUUUAUUGUGAAUAGUCAUGCUAAUACACCCCAUGAUAUGGCAUUGUUAUUAUUUUUAGCAAAUCUGCACUGAUAUUUGCUUAGCUAGUUAACAUCACAGUUUCCUUUAUUGGAGCCUUGGAGUAGUCUAUGCACAUUGUACACCUGCACAAUUUUCCAACAAUAUGAGCCUCCAAAUUGCAUUCCUUGUUCUCAGGGCACAUAAGGAUUCGGUAGCAAUCUUCCUGACAACCACCAAACUUCUUUAGGUAUUUAAACGAACACCUUCGGUUUGUAUUCGCAUCUGCAAAAUAUUACCAAUAAGAAGCAAUCCAAAUCAUGAAAAGAACAGUUUUGUUGAUUGGGUUGAUGCAACACUCUUGGAGGAACCGAUUAAACGUACUUGAUGCUAGCACGAGAAAGGCGAGUGUCAGGAGUAGCGUCAAAGCUGCAAUCUUCAUCCUAACUUGUAUGUGGUGUUGGUAGGAAAGUGACUGCUUGUGAGCCUUGAGGAAGAGAAAAUGAUAUGGCAACCAUUUUUAUAGUAGGUUUGAUAUUAAUGCUCAUUAUUGUAAUACAAAAAUAGCAUGAAAAGAAAGAUUGGAUAAGUUAUGUCGUAUUAAAAGCAAUUAAGUGGACUUCAGGAUAAGAUAUGUACAGACGCUUUGUAGCAGAGCAAAGAGACGAAAUUAAGAGAUUGCACAUUUGAGCAGACGUUUUCACAUGAAAAAGAUAGAUAAAAGAAAAACAUCUAUCUAUACAGUUACUAAACUCCCUUGAAAUAAGGUCUCCUAGUGAAUCCAGGGUGUGAAAAGUGCAUGUGCCCUGGGUGACAGUGGGUGAGGCGUGGUGGUGGGAAGCUCGGUCCCUUGCGUGUCCAGUUUUCUUGUGUACAUGCGAAGUUCGCUUGCUGGUCCCUUGCAUGUUGCUUCAUCUAGCAAAGAAAGAAAAAGGCCGUUACCACACCCAGCUAAUAAAAGAAUCUCAAAGAGCAAAACUGAUUGAACAAAGAAAAUGUUAGGAAUAAAUGAGGAUGUGUCUAUUAUAUUGAUAACUAAAAUGUAUUAAUUAACGAAUCAUCAUUCUUGUGACCAAUCCAAAGUAGUGAUGUCCCUUUUUCUUUUAACAUUUAUAACUGCCAUUUCUUGGAGGCAGCUUCUCCCUAUGUAUAGAUACCUUUUCUAUCAAUGGAAUUAGAGAGGGUAGCUCUCUCUCUCCCUCACCUCGCUAUUUUAUUUGCAUUUUUCAGAUAUAUGUUCUUUUACUUUUAUUCAAAUUUACCUCCGUGGUCAAACUUCCCGAAAGGUCACCCAUCCUCACACUACUCCAGUGCAAGCACACUUAACUUUAGAGUUCUAUCCAACCCCAGCACCAGCUCACUUCACAGGCACUUGCUGAUAUAUCCAGCAUAUCAAUCCUAUUAAACCUUUUUGACGUUUAGGACUUUGUUCAUGUUCAUGAGUGUGAUGAAAUUUUGAAAAAUUAUUUCAAACUUUCGUUCAUAUUACGUAUCAUAUUUCAAACGGUGCACCACUAGUAAGUUUGAUAUUUUUUGAAUUUUUUUGCCUCUAGAUCUUGAAAGCAAUGUAACUUUUUUCUGUUAGAUUUUUGAGGAUUUUGAAAAUGUUUAACGGGGUUCCCCCCAUUAAGAUCGGAUGUAUUUUUAACGGGGUUCCCCCGUUAAGAUCGGAUUGGUAAUAUAUUCAAAAAGGAAGGUGGUAUAUUUAACACCUCAUAUAUACAUCACUUAAUAACACCAUGUACAAAACUCAAGGUGUAAUGUUGAAUUAUGUUCUAUAGAGAUUUAUUGUGAAUAGUCAUGCUAAUACACCCCAUGAUAUGGCAUUGUUAUUAUUUUUAGCAAAUCUGCACUGAUAUUUGCUUAGCUAGUUAACAUCACAGUUUCCUUUAUUGGAGCCUUGGAGUAGUCUAUGCACAUUGGACACCUGCACAAUUUGCCAACAAUAUGAGCCUCCAAAUUGCAUUCCUUGUUCUCAGGGCACAUAAGGAUUCGGUGGCAAUCUUCCUGACAACCACCAAACUUCUUUAGGUAUUUAAACGUACACCUUCGAUUUGUAUUCGCAUCUGCAAAAUAUUACCAAUAAGAAGCAAUCCAAAUCAUGAAAAGAACAGUUUUGUUGAUUGGGUUGAUGCAACACUCUUGGAGGAACCGAUUAAACGUACUUGAUGCUAGCACGAGAAAGGCGAGUGUCAGGAGUAGUGUCAAAGCUGCAAUCUUCAUCCUAACUUGUAUGUGGCGUUGGUAGGAAAGUGACUGCUUGUGAGCCUUGAGGAAGAGAAAAUGAUAUGGCAACCAUUUUUAUAGUAGGUUUGAUAUUAAUGCUCAUUAUUAUAAUACAAAAAUAGCAUGAAAAGAAAGAUUGGAUAAGUUAUGUCAUAUUAAAAGCAAUUAAGUGGACUUCAGGAUAAGAUAUGUACAGACGCUUUGUAGCAGAGAAAAGAGACGAAAUUAAGAGAUUGCACAUUUGAGCAGACGUUUUCACAUGAAAAAGAUAGAUAAAAGAAAAACAUCUAUCUAUACAGUUACUAAACUCCCUUGAAAUAAGGUCUCCUAGUGAAUCCAGGGUGUGAAAAGUGCAUGUGCCCUAGGUGACAGUGGGUGAGGCGUGGUGGUGGGAAGCUCGGUCCCUUGCGUGUCCAGUUUUCUUGUGUACAUGCGAAGUUCGCUUGCUGGUCCCUUGCAUGUUGCUUCAUCUAGCAAAGAAAGAAAAAGGCCGUUACCACACCCAGCUAAUAAAAGAAUCUCAAAGAGCAAAACUGAUUGAACAAAGAAAAUGUUAGGAAUAAAUGAGGAUGUGUCUAUUAUAUUGAUAACUAAAAUGUAUUAAUUAACGAAUCAUCAUUCUUGUGACCAAUCCAAAGUAGUGAUGUCCCUUUUUCUUUUAACAUUUAUAACUGCCAUUUCUUGGAGGCAGCUUCUCCCUAAGUAUAGAUACCUUUUCUAUCAAUGGAAUUAGAGAGGGUAGCUCUCUCUCUCCCUCCCCUCGCUAUUUUACUUGUGUCUAUUAUAUUGAUAACUAAAAUGUAUUAAUUAACGAAUCAUCAUUCUUGUGACCAAUCCAAAGUAGUGAUGUCCCUUUUUCUUUUAACAUUUAUAACUGCCAUUUCUUGGAGGCAGCUUCUCCCUAAGUAUAGAUACCUUUUCUAUCAAUGGAAUUAGGCAUUUUUCAGAUAUAUGUUCUUUUACUUUUAUUCAAAUUUACCUCUGUGGUCAAACUUCCCGAAAGGUCACCCAUCCUCACACUACUCCAGCGCAAGCACACUUAACUUUGGAGUUCUAUACAACCCCAGCACCAGCUCACUUCACAGGCACUUGCUGAUAUAUCCAGCAUAUCAAUCCUAUUAAACCUUUUUGACGUUUAGGACUUUCUUCAUGUUCAUGAGUGUGAUGAAAUUUUGAAAAAUUAUUUCAAACUUCCGUUCAUAUUACGUAUCAUAUUUCAAACGGUGCACCACUAGUAAGUUUGAAAUUUUUUGAAUUUUUUUGCCUCUAGAUCUUGAAAGCCCCGUAACUUUUUUCUGUUAGGUUUUUGAGGAUUUUGAAAAUGUUUAACGGGGUUCCCCCCGUUAAGAUCGGAUGUAUUUUUAACGGGGUUCCCCCCGUUAAGAUCGGAUGUAUUUUUAACGGGGUUCCCCCCGUUAAGAUCGGAUUGGUAAUAUAUUCAAAAAGGAAGGUGGUAUUUUUAACACCUCAUAUAUAGAUCACUUAAUAACACCAUGUACAAAACACAAGGUGUAACGAUGAAUUAUGUUCUAUAAAGAUUUAUUGUGAAUAGUCAUGCUAAUACACCCCAUGAUAUGGCAUUGUUAUUAUUUUUAGCAAAUCUGCACUGAUAUUUGCUUAGCUAGUUAACAUCACAGUUUCCUUUAUUGGAGCCUUGGAGUAGUCUAUGCACAUUGUACACCUGCACAAUUUGCCAACAAUAUGAGCCUCCAAAUUGCAUUCCUUGUUCUCAGGGCACAUAAGGAUUCAGUGGCAAUCUUCCUGACAACCACCAAACUUCUUCAGGUAUUUAAACGUACACCUUCAGUUUGUAUUCGCAUCUGCAAAAUAUUACCAACAAGAAGAAAUCCAAAUAAAGAAAAGAACAAUUUUGUUGAUUGGGUUGAUGCAACUCUCUUGGAGGAACCGAUUAAACGUACUUGAUGUGAGCACGGGAAAGGCGAGUGUCAGGAGUAGCGUCAAAGCUGCAAUCUUCAUCCUAACUUGUAUGUGGUGUUGGUAGGAAAGUGACUGCUUGUGAGCCUUGAGGAAGAGAAAAUGAUAUGGCAACCAUUUUGAUAGUAGGUUUGAUAUUAAUGCUCAUUAUUGUAAUACAAAAUAGCAUGAAAAGAAAGAUUGGAUAAGUUAUGUCGUAUUAAAAGCAAUUAAGUGGACUUCAGGAUAACAUAUGUACAGACGCUUUGUAGCAGAGCAAGGAAACGAAAUUAAGAGAUUGCACAUUUGAGCAGACGUUUUCACAUGAAAAAGAUAGAUAAAAGAAAAACAUCUAUCUAUACAGUUACUAAGGUCCCUUGAAAUAAGGUCUCCUAGUGAAUCCAGCGUUUGAAAAGUGCAUGGGCCUUGGGUGACAGUGGGUGAGGCAUGUUGGUUGGAAUCUCGGUCCCUUGUGUGUCCAGUUUUCUUGUGUACAUGCGCAGUUCGCCUGCUGGACCCUUGCAUGUUGGUUCAUCUAGCAAAGAAAGAAAAAGACCGUUACCACACCUAGCUAAUAAAAGAAUCUCAAUGAGCAAAACUGAUUGAACAAAGAAAAUGUUAGGAAUAAAUUAGGAUGUGUCUAUUAUAUUGAUAACUAAAAUGUAUUAAUUAACGAAUCAUCAUUCUUGUGACCAAUCCAAAGUAGUGAUGUCCCUUUUUCUUUUAACAUUUAUAACUGCCAUCUCUUGGAGGCAGCUUCUCCCUAUGUAUAGAUACCUUUUCUAUCAAUGGAAUUAGAGAGGGUAGCACUCUCUCCGUCCCCUCACUAUUUUACUUGCAUUUUUCAGAUAUAUGUUGUUUUACUUUUAUUCAAAUUUACCUCUGUGGUCAAACUUCCCGAAAGGUCACCCAUCCUCACAAUAUUCCAGCCCAAGCACACUUAACUUCAGAGUUCUAUCCAACCCCAGCACCAGCUCACUUCAGAGGCACUUGUUGAUAUAUCUAGCAUAUCAAUCCUAUUAAACCUUGUUGAUGUUUAGCACUUUGUCCAUGUUCAUGAGUGUGAUGAAAUUUUGAAAAAUUAUUUCAAACUUACGUUCAUAUUACGUAUCAUAUUUUGAAAAAAAUUCUCGAAAAAAAUUCGAAACUAAUUUUUUUGCUGUUACUAGUGGCGCACCUAGCAAACGGUGCGCCACUAGUAAGUUUGAAAAUUUUUGAAUUUUUUUGCCUCUAGAUCUUGAAAGCAUUGUAACUUUUUUCUGUUAGGUUUUUGAGGAUUUUGAAAAUGUUUAACGGAGUUCCCCCUGUUAAGAUCUGAUGUAUUUUUAACGGGGUUCCCCCCGUUAAGAUCGGAUGUAUUUUUAACGGGGUUCCCCCCGUUAAGAUCGGAUUGGUAAUAUAUUCAAAAAGCAAGGUGGUAUUUUUAACGCCUCAUAUAUGGAUCACUUAAUAACACCGUGUAUAAAACUCAAGGUGUAAUGUUGAAUUAUGUUCUAUAGAGAUUUAUUGUGAAUAGUCAUGCUAAUACACCCCAUGAUAUGGCAUUGUUAUUAUUUUGAGCAAACCUGCACUGAUAUUUUCUAGCUAGUUAACAUCAGAGUUUCCUUUAUUGGAGCCUUGGAGUAGUCUAUGCACAUUGUACACCUGCACAAUUUGCCAACAAUAUGAGCCUCCAAAUUGCAUUCCUUGUUCUCAGGGCACAUAAGGAUUCGGUGGCAAUCUUCCUGACAACCACCAAACUUCUUCAGGUAUUUAAACGUACACCUUCGGUUUGUAUUCGCAUCUGCAAAAUAUUACCAACAAGAAGAAAUCCAAAUCAUGAAAAUAACAGUUUUGUUGAUUGGGUUGAUGCAACACUCUUGGAGGAACCGAUUAAACAUACUUGAUCCUAGCAUGAGAAAGGCGAGUGUCAGGAGUAGCGUCAAAGCUGCAAUCAUCAUCCUAACUUGUAUGUGGCGUAUGUAGGAAAGUGACUGCUUGUGAGCCUUGAGGAAGAGAAUAUGAUAUGGCAACCAUUUUUAUAGUAGGUUUGAUAUUAAUGCUCAUUAUUGUAAUACAAAAAUAGCAUGAAAAGAAAGAUUGGAUAAGUUAUGUCGUAUUAAAAGCAAUUAAGUGGACUUCAGGAUAAGAUAUGUACAGACGCUUUGUAGCAGAGCAAGGAAACAAAAUUAGGAGAUUGCUCAUUUGAGCAGACGUUUUCACAUGAAAAAGAUGGAUAAAAGAAAAACAUCUAUCUAUACAGUUACUAAGCUCCCUUGAAAUAAGGUCUCCUAGUGAAUCCAGGGUGUGAAAAGUGCAUGGGCCCUGGGUGAUAGUGGGUGAGGCGUGUUGGUGGGCAGCUCGGUCCCUUGCGUGUCCAGAUUCCUUGUGUAUAUGCGCAGUUGACUUCUAUUACUAGUAGCGCACCUAGCAAACGGUGCACCACUAGUAAGUUUGAAAUUUUUUCAUUUUUUUGCUUUUAGAUCUUGAAAGCCCUGUAACUUUUUUUCUGUUAGGUUCUUGAGGAUUUUGAAAAUGUUUAACGAGGUUCCCCCCAUUAAGAUCGGAUGUAUUUUUAACGGGGUUCCCCCCGUUAAGAUCGGAUUGGUAAUAUAUUCAAAAAGGAAGGUGGUAUUUUUAACGCCUCAUAUAUAGAUCACUUAAUAACACCAUGUACAAAACUCAAGGUGUAAUGUUGAAUUAUGUUCUAUAAAGAUUUAUUCCGAAUAGUCAUGCUAAUACAACCCAUGAUAUGGCAUUGUUAUUAUUUUUAGCAAACUUGCACUGAUAUUUGCUUAGCUAGUUAACAUCAUAGUUUCCUUUAUUGGAGCCUUGGAGUAGUCUAUGCACAUUGUACACCUGCACAAUUUGCCAACAAUAUGAGCCUCCAAAUUGCAUUCCUUGUUCUCAGGGCACAUAAGGAUUCGGUGGCAAUCUUCCUGACAACCACAAAACUUCUUCAGGUAUUUAAACGUACACCUUCGGUUUGUAUCCGCAUCUGCAAAAUAUUACCAAGAAGAAGAAAUCCAAAUCAUGAAAAGAACAGUUUUGCUGAUUGGGUUGAUGAAACACUCUUGGAGGAACCGAUUAAACGUACUUGAUCCUAGCACGAGAUAGGCGAGUGUCAGGAGUAGCAUCAAAGCUGCAAUCUUCAUCCUAACUUGUUUGUGGCGUUGGUAGGAAAGUGACUGCUUGUGAGCCUUGAGGAAGGGAAAAUGAUAUGGCAACCAUUUUUAUAGUAGGUUUGAUAUUAAUGCUCAUUAUUGUAAUACAAAAAUAGCAUGAAAAGAAAGAUUGGAUAAGUUAUGUCGUAUUAAAAGCAAUUAAGUGGACUUCAGGAUAAGAUAUGUACAGACGCUUUGUAGCAGAGCAAGGAAACAAAAUUAAGAGAUUGCACAUUUGAGCAGACGUUUUCACAUGAAAAAGAUAGAUAAAAGAAAAACAUCUAUCUAUACAGUUACUAAGCUCCCUUGAAAUAAGGUCUCCUAGUGAAUCCAGGGUGUGAAAAGUGCAUGGGCCCUGGGUGACAGUGGGUGAGGCGUGUUGGUGGGCAGCUCGGUCCCUUGCGUGUCCAGUUUUAUUAUGUACAUGCGCAAUUCACUACUGUUACUAGUGGCGCACCUAGCAAACGGUGCGCCACUAGUAAGUUUGAAAUUUUUUGAAUAUAUUGGCCUCUAGAUCUUGAAAUCACUGUAACUUUUUUUCUGUUAGGUUUUUGAGGAUUUUGAAAAAAGUUAACGGGGUUCUCCCCAUUAAGAUCCGAUGUAUUUUUAACAGGAUUCCCCUCGUUAAGAUCGGAUUGGUAAUAUAUUAAAAAAGGAAGAUGGUAUUUUUAACGCCUCAUAUAUAGAUCACAUAAUAACACCAUGUACAAAACUCAACGUGUAACAUUGAAUUAUGUUCUAUAAAGAUUUAUUGCGAAUAGUCAUGCUAAUACACCCCAUGAUAUGGCAUUGCUAUUAUUUUUAACAAACCUGCACUGAUAUUUGCUUAGGUAGUUAACAUCACAGUUUCCUUUAUUGGAGCUUUUGACUAGUCUAUGCACAUUGUACACCUGCACAAUUUGCCAACAAUAUGAGCCUCCAAAUUGCAUUCCUUGUUCUCAGGGCACGUAAGGAUUCGGUGGAAAUCUUCCUGACAACCACCAAACUUCUUCAGCUAUUUAAACAUACACCUUUGGUAUGUAUCCGCAUCUGCAAAAUAUUACCAACAAGAAGAAAUCCAAAUCCUGAAGAGAACAGUUUUGUUGAUUGGGUUGAUGCAACACUCUUGGAGGAACCGAUUAAACGUACUUGAUGCUAGCACGAGAAAGGCGAGUGUCAGAAGUAGCGUCAAAGCUGCAAAAUUCAUCCUAACUUGUAUGUGACGUUGGUAGGAAAGUGACUGCGUGUGAGCCUUGAGGAAGAGAAAAUGAUAUGGCAGCAAUUUUUGUAGUAGGUUUAAUAUUAAUGCUCAUUAUUGUAAUACAAAAAUAGAACGAAAAGAAAGAUUGGAUAAGUUAUGUCGUAUUUAAAGCAAUUAAGUGGACUUCUGGAUAAGAUAUGUCCAGACGCUUUGUAGCAGAGCAAGGAAACGAAAUUAAGAGAUUGCACAUUUGAGCAGACGUUUUACAUGAAAAAGAUAGAUAAAAGAAAAACAUCUAUCUAUACAGUUACUAAGCUCCCUUGAAAUAAGGUCUCCUAGUGAAUCCAGGGUGUGAAAAGUGCAUGGGCCCUGGGUGACAGUGGGUGAGGCCUGUUGGUGGGCAGCUCGGUCCCUUGCGUGUCCAGUUUCCUUGUGUACAUGCUCAGUUCACUUCUGUUACUAGUAGCGCACCUAGCAGACGGUGCGCCACUAGUAAGUUUGAAAUUUUUUGAUUUUUUUUGCCUCUAGAUCUUGAAAGCCCUGUAACUUUUUUUCUCUUAGGUUUUUGAGGAUUUUGAAAUUGUUUAACGGGGUUCCCCCCGUUAAGAUCGGAUGUAUUUUUAACGGGGUUCCCCCCGUUAAGAUCGGAUUGGUAAUAUAUUCAAAAAGGAAGGUGGUAUUUUUAACGCCUCAUAUAUAGAUCACUUAAUAACACCAUGUACAAAACUCAAGGGGUAAUGUUGAAUUAUGUUCUAUAAAGAUUUAUUCCGAAUAAGCAUGCUAAUACACCCCAUGAUAUGGCAUUGUUAUUAUUUUUAGCAAACCUGCAAUGAUAUUUGCUUAGCUAGUUAACAUUAGAGUUUCCUUUAUUGGAGCCUUGGAGUAGUCUAUGCACAUUGUACACCUGCACAAUUUGCCAACAAUAUGAGCCUCCAAAUUGCAUUCCUUGUUCUCAGGGCACAUAAGGAUUCGGUGGCAAUCUUCCUGACAACCACCAAACUUCUUCAGGUAUUUAAACGUACACCUUCGGUUUGUAUCCGCAUCUACAAAAUAUUACCAACAAGAAGAAAUCCAAAUCAUGAAAAGAACAGUUUUGUUGAUUGGGUUGAUGCAACACUCUUGGAGGAACCGAUUAAACGUAUUUGAUGCUAGCACGAGAAAGGCGAGUGUCAGGAGUAGCGUCAAAGCUGCAA
rnacentral:lncRNA from 1 species